GAAAUCUUAGGAGGGUUAACUUCCGAAACUGCAUUCGAUACUGUGGGUGCUUGGAGGACUGGGGAGGAGACUGGAAUUUACGGUGUAGCGGUGAAAAUGCGUAGAGAUCGUAAAGGAAGACCAGUGGCGAAGGCGGGUCUCUGGGACAGUUCCCUGACACUGAGGCACGAAGGCCAGGGGAGCAAAACGGGAAUUAGAUACCCCCGGUAGUCCUGGCAGUAAACGGUGCACGUUUGGUGUGGGAGGAUUCGACCCCUUCUGCGCCGGAGCUAACGCGUUAAACGUGCCGCCUGGGGAGUACGGUCGCAAGAUUAAAAACUCAAAGAAAUUGACGGGGGCCCGCACAAGCGGUGGAGUAUGUGGCUUAAUGCAACGCGAAGAACCUUACCUGGCCUUGACAUGCAUCUCUAAGCUGGUGAAAGCCAGUGAGUCCAGAAAGGGACAAUUUGCACAGGUGCUGCAUGGCUGUCGUCAGCUCGUGUCGUGAGAUGUUGGGUUAAGUCCCGCAACGAGCGCAACCCUUGUGAACUGUUGCCACUCCCGCGUGAGCGGGAAGCACUCUGUUCAGACUGCCCUGUGAAACGGGGAGGAAGGUGAGGACGACGUCAAGUCAGUAUGGCCCUUACGGCCAGGGCUGCACACGUACUACAAUGCCCAGUACAGAAUGAUCCGAGACCGCAAGGUGGAGGAAAUCUCCAAAAACUGGGCCCAGUUCGGAUUGAAGUCUGCAACUCGACUUCAUGAAGCCGGAAUCGCUAGUAAUGGCGCAUCAGCUACGGCGCCGUGAAUACGUUCCCGGGCCUUGUACACACCGCCCGUCACAUCAUGGAAGUCACUUGUAGCCGAAGCCGGCGCGCUAACCCGCAAGGGAAGCAGCCUUCUACGCUAUGAGCGGUAACUGGGUUUAAGUCGUAACAAGGUA
rnacentral:rRNA from 1 species